rnacentral:lncRNA from 1 species
CGUGACCAAGGCAGGUUUAUGGCAAGCACGUGUUUGGCUGUUAUGGCUGCCAAAAGGGAAGCCGGUUCUUUCACCCUAAAUGUCCAGGGGAGACCCUCCGGCAGCUGUGUGCCAGGACCUGCUCUUCAAAGUUAGGAUUUGUUCCUGCUGCUGUGAUAAAACCUGAUCAAAAGCAACUUAAAGAAAAGACUUAUUUGUCUUAUACACCCCAGGUUAGUCCAUUGAGGGAGCCAUGGCGGGAAUGGAAGGGAAAAAUUGGAGGAAAAGCCCUGCUUUACUGACUUUACUCCAAACUUACUGCUUACUCCCUAUUACUUCCUUAGCUUCUUUACAUAACCCAGGCCACCUGCCCAGGGGAGGUACAAUCCCCAGUGGGCCAGGCCCUCCCUCAUCAAGCAUUAAUCAAGAAAAUGCCCUACAGACUUGGCCUACAGGCAAUCUGAUGGGAGAUUUCUUUUUUGAUCGUUUUUUCUAGCCAAGUACCUCUAACCUGUGACAAGCUGACCAAGGGGAAAAAAAAAGAACCCAGCUUCUACUAGAAUCGAACUAUUCUAGAAUGUUAUUGACAGUUGUCUGUUACUGAUAGACCCUUGACCAAAAGCAAGUUGGAGGAAAUGGUUUAUUCACUGGGUUCCAUAUAGCAGUUCAUCCUCAAAGAGGGCAGAAACUCAAACAGGACAGCAACCUGGAGGCAGGAGCUGAUGCAGAGGCCAUGGAGGGGUGCUGCCUACUGGCUUGUUCCUCAUGGCUUGCUCAGCCUCUUAUAAGAUGGCACUGGGAACUGGGCCCUCCUAGCACUGAAAAUACCUUACAGCCUGAUCUUCUGGAUCUAGCACAGUCCACUUCUGGUUUUGUCUUAGUCUCUAGAAUGCUAAAGGGGAUAUGUUGCAGGGAAGUAAUCAUGCCCCACAAAGGCAUCUAUCUGAACUUGGAGCCUAUGUGGAAGGGGAUGUGGGACCACAUUGCCUUUUCACUGGGGUAAACUCCUCAGUCUUGCACAAGGAACAGGGAAACAAAUGUGCUGGUGGGCAGCUCAACUCUAGCCUUUUCCCGAAAGGCCUGUCUAUGCCUCCUGGUGCACAGAACUUGCUGUGCUCGGGGGUGAGCCCAGCAUUCCCAUUGCCUCUGGGCUUCCAAAACAUGGCACAUGAUCCUUGAAAUAAAAACAUGUUACUGAUUAUUUUUCCAAGGAUGAAAGUGUAGCUGAGUGAACAGAAAGGCAAGCCAAAAGAGCAGGGCUUAUCAUUGCUCUCUGCAUUUGAACAUUUCUACUCCUAUUUGGAGAGGCCCAGAGGAGCUAACUCUACCUCCGUUUGCUAAGCACAUGG